AAAUUCAGCAAUUAUUGGAAAGGUGUGGUUUUAUCUUUUUGGUUCCUGAUUGUGCAGAUUAUUAUGAAUCUAUUUGACGAACUGUUUUAUGAAGCUAUGCUUAUUAUUGUGAAGAUGGUUAAGUUUUCAUUUGAACAUUAUAAGUAGGAUACUAUGGCUGUUAAUCUGCAGCAACUAGUAGUGCCUGUGAUUAUUAGUGGUUUUUGAAGAUUAUGUCAUCUUUGGAACAGGGUUUGUGUUUGAAGCUUGUCUAUGACUUGCAUAGUGGAAAAUAACUUUUUGUGUGAAUAGUCAUAACAUGGAAGCUUAUUAGUUUUUUCAAUUUUAUUAUGGAAGAUUUUACCUGUUAUAAGUAGGCUGCCAUGUUAUGCAAUCAAACUCAAUCCUUAAUAGAAUUCGCUGAUUCAUGAAAGUGAUGUUUAUGAAAAUGCUGAAGUUGCUUGAACCUAGUAUGACAAAAAAAAUUCACUCCUUAUCAUAUACCUGGAGUUUUAUAUUGUUGUUUAUUGUUUUGGACCGUUAGACUUGUUCAUUCCAUCAAUUAAUUUGCAACUAGUGGAAGAGCCAUAUUAGUACCAUCAGCCUCCAAGCUUGGCACUGCAAUUGGUACUGCUCCCAUUAAAUAUCAAUGUUGC
rnacentral:misc_RNA from 1 species